UCGUAAUCAUAAUGUCAACCUCGUGAAUCAUUCCAUUAAAAUAAAUAGUUUGUUUCAAGUUAAUAAACAAGGUAAUGUAUGUUAAUUAAAGUUUUGUAAAAGUGGAUCUGGUUAAAUUUGUACACCUUCAAUUUAAGAACAACCCCUCCAAACGUUUACUAUAAAUAUGGAAAAUAUCAUCAAAGUCAUCAUUGUUUACCACUGAGUUUACACAAUUCAACAUGUUCAAAUUUGCCCUGUUCUUGGCUCUCGUAGCUCUUGCUCUGGCUGCUCCUAAAGCCCAACCCCAAUAUUUGGGAGGUGCUCUUUAUGGAGGCUAUUCUUCUUUGGGAUAUUCUUCGUUGGGAUAUGCUCCAUACGCUUAUGGUUUAGGAUAUGGAUAUAUUUAAAUAUGUGUUUAUAACAAUUUUUAAAUAAAAUUUGUUAAGCAAAAU